UACGAAGGGGGCUAGCGUUGCUCGGAAUCACUGGGCGUAAAGCGCACGUAGGCGGACUCUUAAGUCGGUGGUGAAAUCCUGGAGCUCAACUCCAGAACUGCCUUCGAUACUGGAGAGCUCGAGUCCGGAAGAGGUGAGUGGAACUCCGAGUGUAGAGGUGAAAUUCGUAGAUAUUCGGAAGAACACCAGUGGCGAAGGCGGCUCACUGGUCCGGUACUGACGCUGAGGUGCGAAAGCGUGGGGAGCAAACAGG
rnacentral:rRNA from 1 species